GAUGAACGCUGGCGGCGUGCCUAAUACAUGCCAGUCGAGCGAACGGACGAGAAGCUUGCUUCUCUGAUGUUAGCGGCGGACGGGUGAGUAACACGUGGAUAACCUACCUAUAAGACUGGGAUAACUUCGGGAAACCGGAGCUAAUACCGGAUAAUAUUUUGAACCGCAUGGUUCAAAAGUGAAAGACGGUCUUGCUGUCACUUAUAGAUGGAUCCGCGCUGCAUUAGCUAGUUGGUAAGGUAACGGCUUACCAAGGCAACGAUGCAUAGCCGACCUGAGAGGGUGAUCGGCCACACUGGAACUGAGACACGGUCCAGACUCCUACGGGAGGCAGCAGUAGGGAAUCUUCCGCAAUGGGAAAGCCUGACGGAGCAACGCCGCGUGAGUGAUGAAGGUCUUCGGAUCGUAAAACUCUGUUAUUAGGGAAGAACAUAUGUGUAAGUAACUGUGCACAUCUUGACGGUACCUAAUCAGAAAGCCACGGCUAACUACGUG
rnacentral:rRNA from 1 species